CAAUAUCAUGGAAAACUAAAGUGUUUCUAUACUGCAUAAAUAUUUAAAAUGAAGGAAGUUCAUAUAGUAAAACUUUUACAAUUAUUUCAAUUCUUCAUGAGAUAGAGCUGCUUUAAAAUGAUAUAAAAGAAAACAAUGAUAAUCACCUCUUGUUUGCUGAUCUUUCUUUUGUGCUUCAAUGUAGAUGUAGAGGAAAAGCUGAGAAAUUUGAAAAAAAAAAAAUUACUUUCAAGAUAAACAUGAUAAAGAGAGAUAGAGAAGGAUUAAAUAAGUGGUAACAACCAUUUUUGAAGUAAGGUGGUUCGAAGUGGAUAGAUGGUGAAUUUGGGGCUGCAGAUUGCUAUCAUGGGAGCUUUAUAUAGAGGCUGAACAGUGACUUUUCGAAUUUGAACUGUCUUGGAAAUAUGAAAGGCUGAUCAAAACGUUUCAUAGUCCAAGAUUACAUUCAUUAUGCUUAUGUUCUCGAUGUAUUUAUUAUUCUGAAUAUUGGGUGAUGUUCCAAGAUAAAUUACCUAGAAUACUGAUAUGCAAUGUGAACAUCAAUAAA